rnacentral:rRNA from 1 species
GAUGAACGCUGACAGAAUGCUUAACACAUGCAAGUCAACUUGAACUUCGGUUUGGGUGGCGGACGGGUGAGUAACGCGUAAAGAACUUGCCUCACAGAUAGGGACAACAUUUGGAAACGAAUGCUAAUACCUGAUAUUAUGAUUUUAGGGCAUCCUAGAAUUAUGAAAGCUAUAUGCGCUGUGAGAGAGCUUUGCGUCCCAUUAGCUAGUUGGAGAGGUAACGGCUCACCAAGGCGAUGAUGGGUAGCCGGCCUGAGAGGGUGAUCGGCCACAAGGGGACUGAGACACGGCCCUUACUCCUACGGGAGGCAGCAGUGGGGAAUAUUGGACAAUGGACCAAGAGUCUGAUCCAGCAAUUCUGUGUGCACGAUGAAGUUUUUCGGAAUGUAAAGUGCUUUCAGUUGGGAAGAAAAAAAUGACGGUACCAACAGAAGAAGUGACGGCUAAAUACGUGCCAGCAGCUGCGGUAAUACGUAUGUCACAAGCGUUAUCCGGAUUUAUUGGGCGUAAAGCGCGUCUAGGUGGUUAUAUAAGUCUGAUGUGAAAAUGCAGGGCUCAACUCUGUAUUGCGUUGGAAACUGUGUAACUAGAGUACUGGAGAGGUAAGCGGAACUACAAGUGUAGAGGUGAAAUUCGUAGAUAUUUGUAGGAAUGCCGAUGGGGAAGCCAGCUUACUGGACAGAUACUGACGCUGAAGCGCGAAAGCGUGGGUAGCAAACAGG